rnacentral:rRNA from 1 species
CCUACGGGUGGCAGCAGUGGGGAAUAUUGCACAAUGGGGGAAACCCUGAUGCAGCGACGCCGCGUGAGUGAAGAAGUAUUUCGGUAUGUAAAGCUCUAUCAGCAGGGAAGAGAAUGACGGUACCUGACGAAGAAGCCCCGGCUAACGACGUGCCAGCAGCCGCGGUAAUACGUAGGGGGCAAGCGUUAUCCGGAUUUACUGGGUGUACAGGGUGCGUAGGUGGCAGGGCAAGUCAGAUGUGAAAGCCCGGGGCUCAACCCCGGUACUGCAUGUGAAACUGUCCAGCUGGAGUGCAGGAGAGGUAAGCGUCAUUCCUCGUGUCGCGGUGAAAUGCGUAGAUAUUAGGAGGCACCCCAGUGGCGAUGGCGGCUUACUGGACUGUAACUGACACUGAGGCACGACAGCGUGUGGAGCAAACAGGAUUAGAUACCCGUGUCGUC